AAAAACACAAAAGAGAUAUCUUCUCAUCAUAACAUCUCAUACUCAAAAUUCUCAAACCCAUAAUUACUUUCUUCCACAUAAGUUUGAUCCAUCUUCCACACUCAUUCAUCUUCAUAUUUAUUAUGUCUUGGUUCUGGCUUUCUGAUCUCUUUGGUUCCAAAAGUGUGUAACUGUGUAUUGCCUUUGAAUUUUCCUUCUUGUUCAUUGUGACACCUUCGGUAUUUGGUAAUUCGUGAAGAAAUCUGCUGUUGAUA
rnacentral:lncRNA from 1 species